ensembl:lncRNA
UUUUUUUUUUUUUUUGCAUUGUUCUUAUGGUAAACAGUGUGUGUUAAAAACAACAUCACAUAUCAUAUCCGAUUGUUUCUGUAACGUGUUGCUGGGCCGAGCUAGCUUGCUAAUAUGUCUGAUGAUUGUUUUCACACGCACUCGACACUUCCCCUCAGCUUACACCUUCAGUUUAUUCCAAACCCUCAAUAACAUUUCACUUUUCACUUCCAUCCUUCGGUUCUUUCCAUCAUUCCAUUCUCCUCGGCUCCUCACAUCUUCUGCACACUGAUUUGAAGAACCUCAUUUCCUGAAAUUUCAGGAACCUCACUCAUGGCUAAACGUCAUUUUCCAGAACGUUCCGCUGACCUUCUCCACAUGCCGGUGUCAGUCUUUAGCAAGCUGACGGAUCGAUCGGACCUCUGUUCCUCACAGCCUCCAUGACAUCAUGACUAGCGGCUGUGUGGAUCAAAACAAUCCUCCUUAACAAAAAACAAGCUAGCCUGCUAAUACAGCUCUUGAUUUGACAAUUUAUUUUAGCUGAGUAGUCAUUUCUCAUUAUUGUUUACAUUAAACUAGUUUUAAUACUGUUGUUGUUGUUUUUUAAACACACCCUUUUUGAAUUGCCCCUACAUUUCCCCAGUGGUUCAGUCCUCUUGGCCAUCUUAAGGGCCGUUGUGUGAUUUUCACCCUGACUAAAUGUCAUUAUACUCAUGCUAGGCUAGCUGGCUAGCUAGAUUAUUCCUUCAAAACAGUUUCCAUUGCUAAUUUAAUCACCAAAAUGGCUGUCGCAGUGUGUAAAACCCCUCCCCCACUCACCACUGCUCAGUGGCAUGACCUGUUUCCAUGGAAACUUGCAACGGAAUUUUCCAGACACACAAAUGUAGUUUCAGCAUGUUAAGCAUGUAGCUUAAUUUUUUAAAAUAAAAAAUAAUGCCUUAACUAUUACUGUAAUACUAUACAUGCUUUUCACAUAAAAGAACAAUAAAAAUAUGAUAUUUAACAACCACUUUACCUUACAGCUAAGAACAUUCUAUUACUUCAUAACACUAGCUAGUUAACAAGAUUGCAUUAGCAACUCUAAACAGAAUUAGAAGGAAAUAAUGCUGUUUGAUUUGAUAAAUCUCUCUCUCCCUCUCUUUUUACAUUGUUAUUGUGGUAAAGGUUUUUGAAUUUUUUUUUUAAGGGGAAGUCAACAAGGAUGUGUUAGAACAGUAUCACACUGUCAAUCUGCUUUAUGUACAAUGCAAAAGAAAUUGUAUAAAAAGUGUUGUACAAAGCAGCGUGUCGCUAGGCCGAGCUAGCCUGCUAAUAUGACCUUUAAAGUGCAAUGUAAGUACACGGUUUGAGAAAAUCUCCCAAAAUUUACUUCACCAACAAGUCGAACACUGCUGAUAAUAUAUCAAGGCUGGUCAGCAUUAUGGCAAUGCGUUCUUGCUAACAUUUACCUUCAUUGUUAGCCUUAUGAGUUUUUUUUCCUUCUCAGUAGUGGUACAGUUCAGAUCAAAACAGAUCAUGGGCUAAAACACGUGACUGAAUAAAGAAAAGGAAAAAAACUAGCCAAAGAUUUAAAAAAAAUAAAUAAAAAAAUCUGAGUACCAUUUCGUGGAAAUGCUCAUUAGCUUAUUAGCUGUUAGUGCUCAUUUACACAGAGCGAAUCAUUUCUUUAUGCAGAAAAUGUCUAAUGUACAAUUUAAUACUGUAUAUCACAAUGACUCUUUAGUGUAUUACAUAAAUGGCCUAAUUACACAGAUAAAUUAUACACAGUCUCAGCUGUGGAUGUCCAGAAACCAUGCGUAAGAGCUUAAUAAAGCAUCAGAAGCCUCUCACAACAUUCAGUAGCGUCAGAAGCCCAUUUAAAGCAUGAAUAAAAAGGCAGGAUUUGAGUUUGAGAGACAGAAUAUGUACGAAUACAUAAAGGAAAGUCUCUAAACUCUCCAAUAUGGCGCCUGUUUACGUACUUUGAAUGAGAUUUCGACUCCAACGAGUCUUGCGAGCGCCUUCUGAUGGAUCGUUAAGCUCUUAUGAAUGACGCAUGAACUCGUCCGGUUUUAAGACUGUGUGAAUCUGAACAGACUAUCUAGUGCUAAUAGUGGUUUAGCAAAGCAAAAAAAAAAAAGAAAAAAAGUUGCAGAUAAAACAGCUUAUUAAUGUUUGUUUUCAAGCUUACAAGACUAGCUAGGUCAAAUAAUUAGCAUGCUAAGAUGCCUCUGAUUAGCACAUCCUGGGUGGAGCUUAGGGUAAACAUGAUUAUCCAUGAAUUAAGCUAGCCAGCUACAAACACAUCACAGUUCAAACAUUAGCCAACUAGCUUGUUAUGUAAGGGUAACGUUUCAUCUUUUGCAGUAACGAUUUAAUGUAAAUUAGCUAGAAAGGUUUGCGAACAGUCCUCCUAAAAUUGAGUAAACUAUUAGCCAAAACUAGUGAUGGUUAACUAUCACAUUGUAAACUGUGUAUUCUUAUGGACUAUAAUAGUUGGCUGAUUGAGUUUAACGCUCCACCCAUACGCUACAGAAAUGCAGCAUUAACUUGCUUUAAAUGGUACUCAGAUGAUUCAAAAAAGAAAAGAAAAGAAAACAUGACAUGACAUUGAAAUACAUUCAGGUUCCGGAACAGAAUUAAUAACACAGCAUUGAGAUUUGCUUUUGUGGAACCUGACAGAAAGAUUUUUUUUUUAACAGAGCAGGUAAACAGACUGUCCUGCAGAUCCAUAUACCUUUAAUGUACAUUCACAUUCAUAAACAGAAGCAGAAACAGAAGCUAAACUGUGCUAACAAUGGAAAUGAUGAUAGCUGAAUACACAGCGUAGCUAAAGAAAGUUUUAAUGUUAGCUUUAAUGUUGAAACUAUUAACAAGUUCGGCUUUACAGAAGGCUGUGUUCUAAUACUUUUUUCCCAAUACCCCCCUCAUUUUGACUAGUGACUGUUUAGGCUUCAUCAUAUGACAUCACCAGUGGUCUUUCUUUUCAUUUCUUAAGUUUGACUUAACUAAUUCACAUACAAUUCUGGUCAGAAUGUAAUAGUUUAUCUAAUGUUAGCUAAGUUACGAGCUAAUUAUUUACACAAUGUAUCAGUUUAAAACAGUUUAACAUUAGCACUGUCCUGUAUGUUAGUAGCUAGCAGGCUUAAUUCAUGUUCCUAAACUAGCUUAUCGUUUAAUAAAGCCAGAAUUUUAUAUUACGUCAAGUCAAAAGAAUUAAAGGAAGGCUAGCGAUAAUGAUCUGAAGCUCCCCCCUUUUUCACAUGGACAAACAGAGCGUCGAGCCAAUUUCUUUGGACGUCUACGCGCUCAGAUUCUUGCUAAAUAUUACCUAGCUUGCUAACUAGCUAGCAAGUCACUGUCAGUUGUUUACAGUCUGGGAUCAGCUCCGAGUUCAUGAGCACAUGAAAUGUAAAAUAUGAGCUCAGAUUACGGUUAGCAUGAUGCUAAUAUUGCUGCAUUAGCAUCACAGAUGAUCAGAUUAGCAGUUUGCUAACUAGCAAGCAGUGCUGGAAGCUAUCAUGGACAGAUGUAGAUGUAAAGUUUGGGGUUAUAAAAGUCAAAAAUCACAAAUUUACAGCUUCACUCGCAGUGUUGUGAUAAAGGAACGAUACAGGGGACGGCAGAGGGGACUCAAUCAAGGGGAGGUCAACAAGGGCGCAUUAAAAACAGUAUUGGAACACAGCCGCACAUUAAACAGAGGCAAAAAACACUUUAACGGAUGAACAGUGAACGCUUAUUUUCUCUUAAUGACACAAACAACAGCUCAGUGAAAUGUUAACUUAUGUUGAAUUUACCCACAAUGCAGUGCUUCAAAUGUGUUUACAGAAUGUAGGCAAGCAGCUGUGAAACUGUCCGACCAAGAACACCGCCUAUUCUCUACACACACACACACACACACACACACACACACACCUGGGAAACAAAAAAAACCCUCAGUUUGAAACCACAAUGCAGACAGGAAGCUGAAAUGGCACAGGAAGUGACAUAGUUUCUGUGGGAACCGUUAUGUUACGUUCCGAUGUGAGAACCAGGGCACCCUCCUAAACAUGAACACACAUGCACGCACACAAACACACACACUCACGCACGCACACAAACACACACAUACUGUACAUAACCCAGACCUGUAAGAAAAGAAAAGGAAGACAAAGACAGUAAAAUAUUCUCAAUACACUGAUCAUUCACUCUUUUUUGAUUUUUCUAAUGCAUGGCAUGCAGCUUUUAAAAUGCUUUAUAAUAUGUUUACAAUCUAUAUGACACAACUGAUUAAUAAUUAACUUUAUAUUUAUAGAACACAUGAUAAAAAUGCUUUAAAAGACUCGAAAUGUGUUACUGUCACUUUAAAAAUGAUCACAUGACCAUUUAACUUUUAAUGUCAAUGGUUAGAGAGGUGUGUCCAAAAGUGUGUGUGUGCUUGUAUUCUCACUUACAUGCCAGGCUAUGGACACACACACACACACACACACACACACACACGUGCACAUACCUGCACGUCACUGAUCUGACUCUUUUGAACUACCCGUUUUGAUUCAUUUGAUUCACUGAUUAAGUUUUGAUUUGUUUAACAGAAUCAGCACAUUUAUUAUCUAAAAAUCUCAAUGAUAUCUCAAUCAUAUCAAUGAUAUAUUGUUUUUUUUUGCAUUCAAAUCGAUUCACCUGAUUCACUGAAGAACGAAUCAUUAAUGAAUCACACAAUACUAUUAUAGAAGGUGGAAUCUGUCUAAUCUAAUAUCAUGUUUAUAGUUAGUUUUUUUUACCUGUACAGUAGAUACUUUAGCAGUACUUUAUCAUGGAGGUGGGGUUUUCCCAGAAUCCAUUGCUGCAUGUUGUAAAUCUGCUUUCAGUUGAUUAUUAGUAUAAACUGCAGGCUUGGCCGUGUUUUUAUGAAGACGGGCGUAAGCACAGAUUCUCAUUUCCUCUGCGGACUGCGCGAUUAGUUUCUGGAGAUUUCGAUAUGCUGCGUACAUUCUUACAGUUUCUCACUUCUGAUUAAAGAUUCUCUGCUUUCUGAACUAAUGGAGCGUGGGAUCUGUGUGUGUGUGAGAGACUCUGUCUGACUGAUCAAAUCAGAUUGUGUGUGUGUGUGCGAAAGACUUAAGAGAGUUUCUGGUUGUGUGGUUUGGGAAACACUGUGCGUGUGUGUGUGUGUGUGUGUGUGUGUGUGUGUGUGUGUGUGUGUGUGUGGUCUGUUAACAUACUUGUUUUCAUGAUGAAUCUGGUGCCCUUUACAGAGUUUCUGUGUAAGGUCUGUACUCGAUACGCUAUGUGUGUGUGUGUGUGUGUGUGUGUGUGUGUGUGUGUGUGUGUGUGUGUGUGUGUAAAAGACAGAGAGAGUGUGUGAGAUGGUGUGUGUUUUAUAAGAGACUCAAAAAAGUGUGUGUGUGUGUGUGUGUGUGUGUGUGUGUGUGUGUGUGUGUGUGUGUGUGUUCACAUUCAACAGUCAUUUAAAUAGAAUGAAUUCUGAACCUCCUAUCAGCAGGGAGUGAGUAUGUAUCUUUGUGUGUGUAUGAGUAUGUGUGUAUCUGUGUGUUUUUGUGAGCAAGUGUGUGUGUGUGUGUGUGUGUGUGUGUGUGUGUGUGUGUAUGUGUAUCUGUGUGUUGUUGUGAGCAGUUGUGUGUGUGUGUGUGUGUUUUUGUGAGCAGGUGUGUGUGUGAAUUGAUUUGUGUUAUUUUCCUGGUGUGUGUGAGUUUGAAUGAAAUCUGAUUGGUUGAUGGUGAAGAGAGUGAGAGAGAGAGAGAGGGAGAGAGAGAAAGUGAGAGAGAGAGAGAGAGAGAGGGAGAGAGAGAGAGAGGGAGAGAGAGAGAGAGGGAGAGAGAGAGAGACAGAGAGAGAGAGACAGAGAGACAGAGAGAGAGAGACAGAGACAGAGAGAGAGAGACAGAGAGAGAGAGGGAGAGAGAGAGACAGAGAGGGAGAGAGAGAGAGACAGAGAGAGAGAGAGAGACAGAGAGAGAGAGAGACAGAGAGAGAGAGAGGGAGAGAGAGAGAGAGGGAGAGAGAGAGAGAGGGAGAGAGAGAGAGAGACAGAGAGAGAGAGA